rnacentral:lncRNA from 1 species
GUACCACACCAAGCAAAGCUCUCUGGGUGACACAGUUGCCACCACCAGGGCACUGACCCUUACUCUGUGUUCUCCUAGCUCCUCCUGAGGGUGCUGUAGGAGACAUCUGCAAAAAAGAAGAUGCUGGCAAUAUGCCAUCAACCUCAGAGGGGAGUAUUUACCUUGAAAUGGCUCACUUCCUGAGGAACAAACUUGCUGGAUCUAGUGUACGGAAACCUGAUUCUGGGUUCCUUUGGGAAGGAGCAUUACGGGCCUGCUCCUGGACCACCUCAUAUCACCAGCACCCUCUACCCAAGGUCCUGGAGCCAACACUGGAGUAAAAGAGCACAAGAGAACUCCUUAGAGGUGGAAGGAUACCCUCUGAGGUCAAAUCAUUGGGCUUGUGGCCAUGAGACCACAGACUUUGCCUGGCUUCCAGUGACUGUCCGAGAUGACCUGUGGAGUGCACCGCCUGUACUUGGACAUCACUGUCUUUUCGGAUCCAUACCCGUCAUCCUUGGAAUUUCCCCUGCAUCCAAACCUGUUCCUGAUACAGAUAACCCUAAGGAAUAUCUUGGAUGUCUUCACGGGGCUUAUGACUUAUUCUGAGGUUUACAAAAUAGAGGCCCCCAGCUGAGCAAAGAGAGGGCUGCAGCGCCGAGGGAACAGCUGCCGGACUCACCGGAGAGGCCUCCUGGAGCACGCCGGGACCCCCUCCACCCCCUGGCUUUGG